AGUGAGCACGGCGUCGUGCGGUCGGGACCUGGACUUCUGGGUGUGGGAGGAAUUUGAGUGCAAAGGUUAAGGUCUUUCAACCUGGCACCCCAUUCUGCAAUUCUUCUUCCAGUUUUUUUCGGUUUCCUGGGGUUGUGCAAGUUUGCAUUAGGCCACAGCCGAGCCACAAUCCUUAUUUUACUAACUCUUGGACUUCACCUGGUUGUCUUGGAGCCUGACAUUUUUAGAAGAGAAUGAGACUUCAAAAGCCAUUUCCAGUCCCUGCUUUUUCAUUUGAGGAACCUGAGACUUAGCUAGUGAAAUGGUUUGUGCAGAUUCCCACAGCCCAAAUCAAAUCGGCUUGACCAAGAACUACUUUGUUCUUGGAGAAAAAAACUAUUUGCAUUACCUUCUCAGCAAUUCAGUGUCAAAUCAGUUUAUCAGGCAGCCUCUCAUGAAGAGGUCUGCUCUCUUACCUCUCUGGGUUUGUCUGUUAUUUUGCAUCUCUCCUAUUCCACUGCAGCCACAUUGCUAAGUCCUUCAGCGCUUGUGCUCAAACAUGCGAAUGUCUAAUGAUCUCACCUGUUUCAAUUCUCUGAGUAUCAUGAACUUUUGUUAAAAAUUUUAAAUUGCAACACACCUUCUCCUCCUCCUUACCCCGCCCUACUGUUUUUUCAUGGCACUUUUCACCUUGCUGUACACUAUAAUAUACACCUUGAUAUUUGUUUUCUUCUCCUUCUAAAAUGUAAGCUCCGUAGAGCUGACAUCUUUACUUGGCACUCAAUUAGUAUUUGUUGAGUGAAAGACUGCAUGAUUACUAGUGUUAAGGAAAAUUUUUAAAGAGGGAAAAUCCUUAUAAAGACACUAUAUAAACUAGAGGUAUUAUCAGCCAGAUCAUUUUACUUGUAUUAAUAAAUCUCUUAGCUCAGUACUUCUCAAACUUCAACAUACAUGUGAACCAUCUGGGGAUCUUGAUAAAAUGCAGAUUUGGAUUCAGUAGUUCUAAUUCAGGUUGGGUCUUGAGAUUUUGUAUUUCGGACAAAAUGCACAGGGGAUGCUGGUGCCCCUUUCAACAGGACCACACUUUGAAUCAGAAGAAUUUAGCUCAAUCUAGACUAAGUUUAGGGAGAAUAUUUCCUUUGAUGUGUUUCUGAUGUCCACUAUAUGAAAGACACCUUCUAGUCGUUGUAAGGAUGCAAGGAUAAAUAACUGAUCUUUACCGUUUAGGCGUCUAUGGAGUAGGACAAAAUAUGAUAUCCAGUUUGUAAACAUUUUUGUGGUACUUGUCACAGGCUGGGUUACCCUGGCAGUAAACUCUGAGGUCGAGAUUAAGGUAUAAGGCAUUGAUUGAUUAGGGAGUGCUCUUGGAAUAAACGUCUGUGAAGGGGAGGUGGAGGAAGCAGAGCGGAGGAAGAAGUUGAUCUGUGAUGCCAUCCCAGUAAAGGCUCCCAAGGGGCGCUCUGGAGUUGGGAUGGCCUUGUAAAGGUGUCUUGAGUUGGUAUGAGGGGCUGGGUCUUAAAGCCCAGCACUGAUUAGUCAUUGAAUACCAACUGUCAUGAUUUUGGGGCUGUCCAUUUCUUUCAUGGAGGCAUUCCCCAGAGGAACGCUGACGGUUGAGGGUGUCUACUGGCAGCCCUCCUAGCAUCAGGAAGGGGACAGAACCCAGUCUUCUGUUCCUGAGAGGGAUCUGGGCAAGUUUCACAAUCACAGCACCCACCACCCUACGUAUCCUUCUGAAGACUUUGCUAGUUAGUCAUUUGGAGACUAAAUAUAUUUAUUAAUUGGGUGAAUAUUAUCAAGUGAUACUGUCUGUGACUGACAUGACCAGGCACAGAGAUAAAGACCUGAGCAAGACAGACAUGGCCCCUGCCCUCACGGAGCUUACUGUCUACUGAGGGAGAUAGCUGUUAAACAAGGAAUUACACAAGUACUGAAAUCGUGAUCAUCAUUCCCAAGGAGAGCAAUGGGAAGAGAUUAAAGGAGUAUAAACAGGAAUUUAACUUAGUCUACAUUUUAAAGAAAGUCUUUCUUUUCUUUUUUCUUUCUUUUGAGACAGGGUCUCACUCUGUCGUCUAGGCUGCAGUGCAGAGGCAUGAUCAUAGCUUACUGCAGCCUCAAACUCCUGGGCCCAAA
rnacentral:lncRNA from 1 species